AUUUCCUGCUAUUGACUUGGAAUCAACCUUUGACAUUUAUUUUAAAGAAAUUUCCUGCUAUGGACUUGGAAUCAACCUUCGGAACGUGUGGUGCUGGUUCCCGGUUGUUGCAAAAAAAUCAGAGUUUAUUUUCAUAAAAAAGAAAAAUUAGAUUGUAAACAGAUUUAUGAACUUAUUAUCAUUUUAUUACACGCGCGCACACGAUGAAUGGACCUCAAAAGUAAUACUUAAUUUUCUCAGGACCUCAAAAGUAAUUUUUUAUUUUUCUUCUUAUUAGCAGACAUGUCCGAUCUGCCUGUGCCAAACGAAGGAUCCUGCUUUUGGGUGCAGGCAUCAGCGACCAUUCCUUUCCACCAAGAGUUCAUCUAAUUAUUAUUGAAGGGAGCCCAAUCCUUUAAACUAACAAGCUCUGAUGCAUUGAGCUUCAUCUCGAAUGGCAACGAAGGUAAUUAAUCUAAUCUCAUUACAUAUAUUAUUAUUAUCAUCACUGUUUGUACGCUUAUAUGCUGUUCGUGAGACGAUAGGGACCGUUCAUCUAUUAUUGUCAUCACUGUUUGUACGCUUAUAUGUUGUUCGUGAUAUAAUAGGGACCCGUUCAUCUAUUAUUAUUAUCAUCACUUGUUGUACGCUUGUAUGCUGUGAGAUAGGGACCGUUCAUCUAAAUUAUUAUUGAAGGGAGCCCAAUCCUUUAAACUAAUUAACAAGCACAUUGAGCUUCAUCUCAAAUGGCAACAAAGCAAAAGAUAGAGAUGAAGAUUCAGAUGGGUUGCAGAAACGGUCAAAGAAAGGCCAUGACGUGAUUGCUGCAGAAAAAGAUGGUAUUGACUCGAUUACAGUAGAUGGAGAUAAGCUAGUGGUCACCGGAGUCGGAGUAGAUUUGGUCAAAUUAGUCAAAUCGUUACGGAAAAAAAACAUAGGGUGCACAUAAAUAGUUAUGGAUUUCGGAGGUGAAGAGAGAUAAUAAAGAGAAAUGGAAGGAUGCGAAGAAAGAAGACAAGCCACCGACCGACAAUGUACCGACAAUUUCAUAUUCGUAUUCGUAUUCGCAUUUGCCGCCGAUGUAUUAUGUGAUGUGCGAUGCGCCGGCCCCAGAUCGAUCAUCCUUGCUCCAUCAUGUGAUUCUGUGGUUUUUUGGUGUGGCUCUUAUCAUGCAUUAGAGAUGUCAUUAAUGCAUGUGCAUGCUUCUUAAUUGAGAGUUUUAAUGCAGAUAGUUAGUGCAUAAUGAGUGAGAAUAAAACUCUUUCAUUAUUGCUUAUUGAAGAGAGAGAGAGAGGGAGAGAGAG